rnacentral:rRNA from 1 species
ACAUCGGAACGUGCCCAGUCGUGGGGGAUAACGUAGCGAAAGCUACGCUAAUACCGCAUACGAACUCUGGUUGAAAGCGGGGGAUCGCAAGACCUCGCGCGAUUGGAGCGGCCGAUGGCAGAUUAGGUAGUUGGUGGGGUAAAGGCCUACCAAGCCGACGAUCUGUAGCUGGUCUGAGAGGACGACCAGCCACACUGGGACUGAGACACGGCCCAGACUCCUACGGGAGGCAGCAGUGGGGAAUUUUGGACAAUGGGCGCAAGCCUGAUCCAGCCAUUCCGCGUGCAGGAUGAAGGCCCUCGGGUUGUAAACUGCUUUUGUACGGAACGAAAAGGCCUUUUCUAAUACAGAGGGCUCAUGACGGUACCGUAAGAAUAAGCACCGGCUAACUACGUGCCAGCAGCCGCGGUAAUACGUAGGGUGCAAGCGUUAAUCGGAAUUACUGGGCGUAAAGCGUGCGCAGGCGGUUAUGUAAGACAGGUGUGAAAUCCCCGG